AGUCGAACGGCAGCACGGACUUCGGUCUGGUGGCGGAGUGGCGAACGGGUGAGUAAUGUAUCGGAACGUGCCUUAGUGGGGAUAACUACGCGAAAGCGUAGCUAAUACCGCAUACGCCCUUCGGGGGAAAGUGGGACCUUCGGGCCUGCAAUUAUUAGAGCGGGGCUGAUAUCGAUUAGCUAGUUGGUGGGGUAACGGCUCACCAAGGCGACGAUCCGUAGCUGGUUUUGAGGAGGACGACCAGCCACACUGGGACUGAGACACGGCCCAGACUCUACGGGAGGCAGCAGUGGGGAAUUUGGACAAUGGGGGAAACCCUGAUCCAGCCAUCCCGCGUGUGCGACGAAGGCCUCGCUGUAAAGACUUUGGCAGGAGGCGAAAUUCCGCACGGGAUAAUACCCGUGCAACUGACGGUACCUGCAGAAUAAGCACCGGCUAACUACGUGCCAGCAGCCGCGGUAAUAAUGCAGGGUGUUGCUAAUCGGAAUUACCAUGUAAAGCGUGCGCAGGCGGUUCGGAAAGAAAGAUGUGAAAUCCCAGAGCUUAACUUUGGAACUGCAUUUUUAACUACCGAGCUAGAGUGUGUCAGAGGGAGGUGGAAUUCCGCGUAGCAGUGAAAAUGCGUAGAUAUGCGGAGGAACACCGAUGGCGAAGCAGCCUCCUGGGAUAACACUGACGCUCAUGCACGAAAGCGUGGGGAGCAAACAGGAUUAGAUACCCUGGUAGUCCGCCCUAAACGAUGCCUUCAACUAGCUGUUGGCCUCGGCCUGGUAGCGCAGCUACUGCGAGUUGACCGCCUGGGAGUACAACGAUUAAACCAAAGCGAAUUGACGGGGACUCCGCACGCUGCGGAUGAUGUGAUUAAUUCGAUGCAACGCGAAAACCUUACCUACCCUUGACAUGUCUGGAAUCCCGAAGAGAUUUGGGAGUGCUCGUAAGAGAACCGGAACACAGGUGCUGCAUGGCUGUCGUCAGCUCGUGUCGUGAGAUGCGUUGGGUUAAGUCCCGCAACGAGCAACCUCUUGUCAUUAGUUGCUACGGAAAGGGCACUCUAAUGAGACUGCCGGUGACAAACCGGAGGAAGGUGGGUCGACGUCAAGUCCCUCAUGGCCCUUAUGGGUAGGGCUUCGUCGUCAUACAAUGGUCGGGACAGAGGGUCGCCAACCCGCGAGGGGGAGCCAAUCCCCAGAAACCCGAUCGUAGUCCGGACGGCAGUCUGCAACUCGACUGCGUGAAGUCGGAAUCGCUAGUAAUCGCGGAUCAGCAUGUCGCGGUGAAUACGUUCCCGGGUCUUGUACACUGCCCGUCACACCAUGGGAGUGGGUUUUACCAGAAGUAGUUAGCCUAACCGUAAGGAGGGCGAUUACCACGGUAGGAUUCAUGACUGGGGUGAAGUCAACAAGGUAA
rnacentral:rRNA from 1 species